GCCUGGGUGGCUCAGUCGGUUGAGCGUCUGACUUCAGCUCAGGUCAUGAUCUCGCGGUCCGUGGGUUCAAGCCCCGCGUCGGGCU
rnacentral:tRNA from 1 species